AACGAACGCUGGCGGCGUGCCUAACACAUGCAAGUCGUGCGAGAAAGUUCCUUCGGGAGCGAGUAAAGCGGCGCACGGGUGAGUAACACGUAGGUAACCUGCCCCCCAGUCUGGAACAACUAGAGGAAACUCUAGCUAAUGCCGGAUGAGACCACGAUCCCUUCGGGGGUUGCGGCCAAAGAUGGCCUCUACUUGUAAGCUAUCGCUGAGGGAUGGGCCUGCGGGCCAUUAGCUUAGUUGGUGAGGUAACGGCUCACCAAGGCUGUGAUGGCUAGCUGGUCUGAGAGGAUGACCAGCCACACUGGGACUGAGACACGGCCCAGACUCCUACGGGAGGCAGCAGUGGGGAAUAUUGCGCAAUGGGCGAAAGCCUGACGCAGCGACGCCGCGUGGGUGAUGAAGGCCU
rnacentral:rRNA from 1 species